rnacentral:rRNA from 1 species
UACGUAGGCAGCGAGCGUUGUUCGGAAUUACUGGGCGUAAAGGGCUCGUAGGCGGCCAACUAAGUCGGAUGUGAAAUCCCCAGGCUUAACCUGGGAACUGCAUCCGAUACUGGAUGGCUUGAAUCCGGGAGAGGGAUGCAGAAUUCCAGGUGUAGCGGUGAAAUGCGUAGAUAUCAGGAGGAACACCGGUGGCGAAGGCGGGUCUCUGGGCCGAAACUGACGCUGAGGAGCGAAAGCGUGGGGAGCAAACAGG